rnacentral:tRNA from 1 species
GGCCUGGUAGUCUAGCUUGGAUAGCUUGAUAUUCUUCCAUUCCAAACAGGGCACUGGCUUGCGGAGCCAGAAGUCGAGGGUUCAAAUCCCCCCCAGGCCA